AGGAUAGAAAGAAAGAAUAAGGAUAGACAGAAAGAAUAAAGAUAGAAAGGAAAGUCAAGUGGCAAAGAUAUAUCCUGGUCAUUUCCAUUGUUUUGUGUUUU
rnacentral:ribozyme from 1 species